rnacentral:lncRNA from 1 species
CCAACUCAACCUCCUAAGUAGCUGGGACUACAGGUGAAAUUGACCACAAAUCAAUCACUACCAUUGAUGAAGAUUGAUUCAAGAAUGGUCGUAUAAUCCAGUAAGAACUGAUGAAUGCCUGAGAGCCAAUAAAUAAAGACUUCUGGAAAAGAGAGGCAUUCAUUCUUGCCUUUGAGCUUUGCAAGGUGGUAAAGCUUGGUAAUAGUCGCCAUAUAGCUAACUUGAGUGGAGCCAUCAAGGUAACCAAGGCUGUCAGACACCCCCAGAGAGAAUCAUUCACAUGUGCAAAGGAUGAACUCAACACCCAGAAGAAGCAUCCUAGUGACAUUGGGCAGCUCUGAUUCAAGAGGAACCUGAAACUACUCACAGAAUUCAUUGAAAUUGAGCCAAUAAAUUCAUUCAUUUCUUAGGGCGGCUUCAGUUUUCUGUCAUUUGCAGCAUAAAGAUCUGGUGUAAUAAAAGUCUAGGAGGAAAUAAAAGAUUUCUUUCCUAUUCUCAACCUCCGGUUUCAUCUCCUAGAGAUAAUCACUGUUUCUUACAGACAUAUGUUUGCAAACAUGUAUCUAAUGUAUGCCUUUUAAUGCAAAUAGGAUUGUAUUAAAUAUAUAGUUCCACCACUUGCUCUUUUAAACUUAUGUUGUAUUAUGGGCAUCUUCCUUUGUCAACAUAUAGAUCUACCACUUUUUCUUUAUAGUUGCAUACAAUUCUAUAAAUUAGAUGUAUCAUCAAUUUAAUCUCUUCCUUUGAUAGAAAUUUAGUUUUUCCUCAAUUUUUUACUUUGACAAACAUUACCUUUAUACGUAUAUCUUUGUGCACUUGUGCAGCUAUAAAAGGAAAAAAAAAUCCUAAAAGUGAAAGUGCUCAAAGAGAAUGUGCACUUAAAAUUUUUGGCCUCCAGAAUUAUUACAGCAAUUUAUACUCUUUUCAGAAACAUGAGGCUACGUUUCCUAGUGCUGGUAAAACUGUGUUUGAUAAACUUCAGAAAAGUUUGCCAGUACGAUAAUGAAAAGCAGUAUUGUUUUCUUGAUUUGCAUUUGUUUAGUGAGUGCAUAUAUAUAUAUACACGUGGAGACAUACAUGGAGCGACACAUACAUAUUUAGGCUAUUUUAUAACUUCAUUAACUAUUUUAAUGUAAAUUUUUUAUUCAUAUCCUUAGUUGAUUUUUCUGUUGGGUCAUUUAUCUUUUCCUCAUUUAUUUGUCUUUAUAUAUUAAGAAAAUAGAUUCUUUUCUCAUACGUAUUUUGAAUAUUCUUUUCAGUUUUGUUGUUUGUCUUUUUGGUAAUUUAUUUCUGAAUUUCUUUUUCUAUUAAAUGUUCUAAGUAGAGAAAAAACAGGAGAGGAUUAUAUAAUGAGCACUCAUACAGCCACUACCUAGUUUUAACAUGUUGUCAUUUUGUAAUAUUUGCUUCAGCGUUUUUUUUAAAAGAAAAAAUGUUGCAGAUACAACUGAAGUUCUUUCAUACCCUCUCCAAUUCCAUUCCUUUCCACCCCUCCCCAGAAUAACUAGCAUCCUGAAGGAAAUGUGCCUGUGUUUUUGGAAACCCUUUAUACCCCUCAAAUACCCCUCACAUGAACUAUUUAAAUAUUUUCCUUUGUCUUUCAG